rnacentral:rRNA from 1 species
CCUACGGGAGGCAGCAGUGAGGAAUAUUCGUCAAUGGACGAGAGUCUGAACGAGCCAAGUAGCGUGAAGGAUGACUGCCCUAUGGGUGGUAAACUUCUUUUUUAAAGAAAUAAAACGAGGCAAGUGUGCGUUUUUGCAUGGACUUUAUGAAUAAGGAUCGGCAAAGUUCGUGCCAGCAGCCGAGGUAAUACGGAGGAUACGAGCGUUAUCCGGAUUUAUUGGGUUUAAAGGGAGCGCAGAUGGGUUUUUAAGUCAGUUGUGAAAGUAUGCGGCUCAACCGUAAAAUUGCAAUUGAUACUGGCAGUCUUGAGUACAGAUGAGGUAGGCGGAAUUCGUUGUGUAGCGGUGAAAUGCUUAGAUAUCACGAAGAACCCCGAUUGCGAAGGCAGCUUACUAAUCUGUGACUGACAUUGAUGCUCGAAAGUGUGGGUAGCAAACAGGAUUAGAUACCCCAGUAGUC